rnacentral:rRNA from 1 species
AUUGAACGCUGGCGGCAUGCUUUACACAUGCAAGUCGAACGGUAACAGGCCUUCGGGUGCUGACGAGUGGCGAACGGGUGAGUAAUGCAUCGGAACGUGCCCAGAGGUGGGGGAUAACGCAGCGAAAGCUGUGCUAAUACCGCAUGUGAUCUGAGGAUGAAAGCGGGGGACCAGGCAGCAAUGUUUGGCCUCGCGCCUUUGGAGCGGCCGAUGUCAGAUUAGGUAGUUGGUGGGGUAAAGGCCUACCAAGCCGACGAUCUGUAGCUGGUCUGAGAGGACGACCAGCCACACUGGGACUGAGACACGGCCCAGACUCCGACGGGAGGCAGCAGUGGGGAAUUUUGGACAAUGGGCGCAAGCCUGAUCCAGCAAUGCCGCGUGCGGGAAGAAGGCCUUCGGGUUGUAAACCGCUUUUGUACGGAACGAAAAGGCUCUGGCUAAUACCUGGGGCUGAUGACGGUACCGUAAGAAUAAGCACCGGCUAACUACGU